rnacentral:piRNA from 1 species
UGUUGCCUAGCACCAUGUGGAAUCUAAUCC